CCUACGGAUGGCAGCAGUGGGGAAUAUUGGACAAUGGGGGCAACCCUGAUCCAGCCAUGCCGCGUGUGUGAAGAAGGCCCUCGGGUUGUAAAGCACUUUCAGUGAGGAAGAACGCCUGGUGGUUAAUACCCAUCAGGAAAGACAUCACUCACAGAAGAAGCACCGGCUAACUCCGUGCCAGCAGCCGCGGUAAUACGGAGGGUGCGAGCGUUAAUCGGAAUUACUGGGCGUAAAGCGCGCGUAGGUGGCUUGAUAAGCCGGUUGUGAAAGCCCCGGGCUCAACCUGGGAACGGCAUCCGGAACUGUCAAGCUAGAGUGCAGGAGAGGAAGGUAGAAUUCCCGGUGUAGCGGUGAAAUGCGUAGAGAUCGGGAGGAAUACCAGUGGCGAAGGCGGCCUUCUGGACUGACACUGACACUGAGGUGCGAAAGCGUGGGUAGCAAACAGGAUUAGAUACCCGGGUAGUC
rnacentral:rRNA from 1 species